rnacentral:rRNA from 1 species
GUCCACGCCGUAAACGAUGAGUGCUGGGUGUCGUGGGUUUGACCCCGCGGUGCCGUAGCUAACGCGUGAAGUUGACCGCCUGGGGAGUACGGCCGCAAGGUUGAAACUCAAAGGAAUUGACGGGACCCGCACAAGCGGUGGAUGAUGUGGUUUAAUUCGAUGCAACGCGAAAACCUUACCCACCUUUGACAUGUACGGAACUCGCCAGAGAUGGGCUUGGUGCUCGAAAAGAGAGCCGUAACACAGGUGCUGCAUGGCUGUCGU